rnacentral:rRNA from 1 species
CCUACGGGAGGCAGCAGUGAGGAAUAUUGGUCAAUGGGCGGGAGCCAGAACCAGCCAAGCCGCGUGAGGGAAGAAGGUACAGCGUAUCGUAAACCUCUUUUGUCAGGGAACAAAGGCGGGGACUAGUCCCCGGAUGAGGGUACCUGAAGAAAAAGCAUCGGCUAACUCCGUGCCAGCAGCCGCGGUAAUACGGAGGAUGCGAGCGUUAUCCGGAUUUAUUGGGUUGAAGGGGUGCGCAGGCGGCCUGGUAAGUCAGCGGGAAAAGCCCGGGGCUCAACCCCGGCGAGCCGUUGAAACUGGCGGGCUGGAGUUGGAGAGAAGUACGCGGAAUGCGCGGUGUAGCGGUGAAAUGCUUAGAUAUCGCGCAGAACCCCGAUUGCGAAGGCAGCGUACCGGCUCCACACUGACGCUGAGGCACGAAAGCGUGGGUAUCGAACAGGAUUAGAUACCCCUGUAGUC